rfam:Alpha proteobacterium symbiont of Oscarella lobularis scaffold1, whole genome shotgun sequence.
UUUGGUGAUCAUAGCGCCAGUGAAACACCCGAUCCCAUCCCGAACUCGACCGUUAAGCACGGUAGCGCCGAUGGUACUGCGUCUUAAGGCGUGGGAGAGUAGGUCAUCGCCAAAC